rnacentral:rRNA from 1 species
UACGAAGGGUGCAAGCGUUAAUCGGAAUUACUGGGCGUAAAGCGUGCGUAGGCGGUCUUUUAAGUCCGAUGUGAAAGCCCUGGGCUCAACCUGGGAAUGGCACUGGAUACUGGAAGGCUAGAGUACGGUAGAGGAGGGUGGAAUUCCCGGUGUAGCGGUGAAAUGCGUAGAGAUCGGGAGGAACAUCAGUGGCGAAGGCGGCCCUCUGGACCAGUACUGACGUUGAGGCACGAAAGCGUGGGGAGCAAACAGG